rnacentral:rRNA from 1 species
UACGUAGGUGGCAAGCGUUGUCCGGAUUUACUGGGCGUAAAGAGCGCGCAGGCGGUCAUUCAAGUCGCGUGUGAAAGCCCCCGGCUCAACUGGGGAGGGUCACGCGAUACUGAUCGACUCGAAGGCAGGAGAGGGUAGUGGAAUUCCCGGUGUAGUGGUGAAAUGCGUAGAUAUCGGGAGGAACACCAGUGGCGAAGGCGACUACCUGGCCUGUUCUUGACGCUGAGGCGCGAAAGCUAGGGGAGCAAACGGG